UAGAAACAUUUGGGGUGCUUUAGAGCUGAGAUUAUACCCAUGGAACCUGAAACAGUUAGAACUGGCGCAGGGAAAUGUCGUAAAACCAUC
rnacentral:ncRNA from 2 species